AACUGUCCAUCACACUGUAUGUGUAGUGAAGAUUCUCCUUGUAAGAAGUACGCUCAAAAAGAGUGCCCACAUCCAAGAAUUGGUGCUUAAACUCCAUAGGAAGGCAUGCCCAUCUACCUGCCCGGCUGCUCUCAGUUCCUUUGUCUCACAACUGGGCCUUGCUGCACCAAUGCCACAUUGAACUGCCAUCACCCACCACAGGUAUAGAUGGAUGUUUUGGGAUGCAGAGCCUGGCAAAGAGGACGCCAUCAUCCUGUGGAUUCAGAGCAUAUGCGUGGCCUCGUCAUUUCUGCUGUGCUUCUCCAUCAGCCAGAAGAUUUUACCAGUGUUAAAAGCUGUUUGUGAGUCUUUGGAUAUCUCUUCCUUGCCCUCUGGGGGCUGUUCCCUUUUUGAAGCACAGGCAGAGACCUGUUUUGGAAGACAUGCACGUCCACAUAUCUUUGUAUAUUCAAGGCCACGUUUGUUUGUGUCGAUUUGCUGCCAUGGUCACAUGCUUAUUUCUUCAUUUCCAACUGCAUUUAAUGCACUUCUAUAAGAAUGAAUAUCUGGACCAUGAACCCUCCUUUAUCAAAGCAUAUAUUUGUAGGCUCUGAUAUCUCUGAGUACACAGAUACCUGAUUAUGUAACAUGUUUGCAUUUAGGCUAUUUGUGUAGCUGUUGAGCAGCAAGAGGUACUGAAGCACCUUAACAGAGUGUCAAAUUUGCUAAAGUCUGAGAACCAUUUACGGCUUCAGAUAGCUACGCUUUGCUUCUCACUUGUGCACAGAGCAGAUAAAUAAGUUAUUGUGGUGUUCUCCAUCACCAGUCAAACAGAAAUUAUUCUGCCAUUACACAGUUUUAGCAAUAAGAUAUACGCAUCAUUACUGGCUUACUAACACAAAUGAGAAGGAUAAAUGUGAACAACUAUGAGUCUGAUUCUCUCUCCUCUGCUUAUCCUCUAGUCUGUGCACUUAGCCUUAAGAAAAAUGGAUAUAAAAUUGUUCGUGCCCACUUCGCAUAAGAUACACAAUGGUGUGUGUGUAGCAGGGAAAAUGUAUGGAAGUAUGUCUGUCUUCACCCAUGUGAUUGACACAAAACAAAUACUGCCUUUGAAAAGCUUCAGUCACUUUUUUUUUUUUUUUGGCUUAAAAACAUUCCUUAAAUGCUAAAAGAGCUUGAAAUUUAUAAAUAGCUUUUGCUCUCUUCAGCAAGGAAAAGAUUUCUCUUAACUUUUGAUUAUGUUUGACCAUGGAGAAUCAACAAUGCAGGAAGAUUUUCAACAAAGGUAUUUUCUCUCAUGCCAUGCUCCUCACGGACUUUCCCUAUUCCUACUCACUCAACCUCAAAGGAAUAAUUAGUUGCUAAAAAAUGUGUUUCAUUUUGGCUGGGAGAAGACAGAGCAUGUUUUUAAUUAAGGAAGUGCUAUUAAAAUAAACUUUUCUAGGAAAAAUGUGCACAGGGUAAUAUAUAACAUAAUUAGAAAA
ensembl:lncRNA